UGGAGCAUGUGGUUUAAUUCGAAGCAACGCGAAGAACCUUACCAGGCCUUUGGCAUGCAGAGAACUUUCCAGAGAUGGAUUGGUGCCUUCGGGAACUCUGACACAGGUGCUGCAUGGCUGUCGUCAGCUCGUGUCGUGAGAUGUUGGGUUAAGUCCGUAACGAGCGCAACCCUUGUCCUUAGUUACCAGCACGUUAUGGUGGGCACUCUAAGGAGACUGCCGGUGACAAACCGGAGGAAGGUGGGGAGUGACGUCAAGUCAUCAUGGCCCUUACGGCCUGGGCUACACACGUGCUACAAUGGUCGGUACAAAGGGUUGCCAAGCCGCGAGGUGGAGCUAAUCCCAUAAAACCGAAUCGUAGUCCGGAUCGCAGUCUGCAACUCGACUGCGUGAAGUCGGAAUCGCUAGUAAUCGUGAAUCAGAAUGUCACGGUGAAUACGUUCCCGGGCCUU
rnacentral:rRNA from 1 species